AUACGUAGGUGGCAAGCGUUGUCCGGAAUUAUUGGGCGUAAAGCGCGCGCAGGCGGUCCUUUAAGUCUGAUGUGAAAGCCCACGGCUCAACCGUGGAGGGUCAUUGGAAACUGGGGGACUUGAGUGCAGAAGAGGAAAGUGGAAUUCCAAGUGUAGCGGUGAAAUGCGUAGAGAUUUGGAGGAACACCAGUGGCGAAGGCGACUUUCUGGUUUGUAACUGACGCUGAGGCGCGAAAGCGUGGGGAGCAAACAGGAUUAGAUACCCUGGUAGUCCACGCCGUAAACGAUGAGUGCUAAGUGUUAGGGGGUUUCCGCCCCUUAGUGCUGCAGCUAACGCAUUAAGCACUCCGCCUGGGGAGUACGGUCGCAAGACUGAAACUCAAAUGAAUUGACGGGG
rnacentral:rRNA from 1 species